rnacentral:rRNA from 1 species
UGGGGAAUUUUCCGCAAUGGGGGCAACCCUGACGGAGCAACGCCGCGUGGGGGAGGAAUGUCUGUGGAUUGUAAACCCCUUUUCUCAGGGAAGAAGUUCUGACGGUACCUGAGGAAUCAGCAUCGGCUAACUCCGUGCCAGCAGCCGCGGUAAUACGGAGGAUGCAAGCGUUAUCCGGAAUUAUUGGGCGUAAAGCGUCCGUAGGCGGUUAGUUAAGUCAGUUGUUAAAGACUACAGCUCAACUGUGGGAGAGCAACUGAAACUGAUUAACUAGAGUGCGAUAGGGGUAGAGGGAAUUCCCAGUGUAGCGGUGAAAUGCGUAGAUAUUGGGAAGAACACCAGUGGCGAAGGCGCUCUACUGGGUCGCAACUGACGCUGAGGGACGAAAGCUAGGGGAGCGAAAGGGAUUAGAUACCCCCGUAGUCC